GAAUGCUGACAUAAGUAACGAUAAAGCGGGUGAAAAGCCCGCUCGCCGGAAGACCAAGGGUUCCUGUCCAACGUUAAUCGGGGCAGGGUGAGUCGACCCCUAAGGCGAGGCCGAAAGGCGUAGUCGAUGGGAAACAGGUUAAUAUUCCUGUACUUGGUGUUACUGCGAAGGGGGGACGGAGAAGGCUAUGUUGGCCGGGCGACGGUUGUCCCGGUUUAAGCGUGUAGGCUGGUUUUCCAGGCAAAUCCGGAAAAUCAAGGCUGAGGCGUGAUGACGAGGCACUACGGUGCUGAAGCAACAAAUGCCCUGCUUCCAGGAAAAGCCUCUAAGCAUCAGGUAACAUCAAAUCGUACCCCAAACCGACACAGGUGGUCAGGUAGAGAAUACCAAGGCGCUUGAGAGAACUCGGGUGAAGGAACUAGGCAAAAUGGUGCCGUAACUUCGGGAGAAGGCACGCUGAUAUGUAGGUGAAGCGACUUGCUCGUGGAGCUGAAAUCAGUCGAAGAUACCAGCUGGCUGCAACUGUUUAUUAAAAACACAGCACUGUGCAAACACGAAAGUGGACGUAUACGGUGUGACGCCUGCCCGGUGCCGGAAGGUUAAUUGAUGGGGUUAGCGGUAACGCGAAGCUCUUGAUCGAAGCCCCGGUAAACGGCGGCCGUAACUAUAACGGUCCUAAGGUAGCGAAAUUCCUUGUCGGGUAAGUUCCGACCUGCACGAAUGGCGUAAUGAUGGCCAGGCUGUCUCCACCCGAGACUCAGUGAAAUUGAACUCGCUGUGAAGAUGCAGUGUACCCGCGGCAAGACGGAAAGACCCCGUGAACCUUUACUAUAGCUUGACACUGAACAUUGAGCCUUGAUGUGUAGGAUAGGUGGGAGGCUUUGAAGUGUGGACGCCAGUCUGCAUGGAGCCGACCUUGAAAUACCACCCUUUAAUGUUUGAUGUUCUAACGUUGGCCCCUGAUCGGGGUUGCGGACAGUGUCUGGUGGGUAGUUUGACUGGGGCGGUCUCCUCCUAAAGAGUAACGGAGGAGCACGAAGGUUGGCUAAUCCUGGUCGGACAUCAGGAGGUUAGUGCAAUGGCAUAAGCCAGCUUGACUGCGAGCGUGACGGCGCGAGCAGGUGCGAAAGCAGGUCAUAGUGAUCCGGUGGUUCUGAAUGGAAGGGCCAUCGCUCAACGGAUAAAAGGUACUCCGGGGAUAACAGGCUGAUACCGCCCAAGAGUUCAUAUCGACGGCGGUGUUUGGCACCUCGAUGUCGGCUCAUCACAUCCUGGGGCUGAAGUAGGUCCCAAGGGUAUGGCUGUUCGCCAUUUAAAGUGGUACGCGAGCUGGGUUUAGAACGUCGUGAGACAGUUCGGUCCCUAUCUGCCGUGGGCGCUGGAGAACUGAGGGGGGCUGCUCCUAGUACGAGAGGACCGGAGUGGACGCAUCACUGGUGUUCGGGUUGUCAUGCCAAUGGCACUGCCCGGUAGCUAAAUGCGGAAGAGAUAAGUGCUGAAAGCAUCUAAGCACGAAACUUGCCCCGAGAUGAGUUCUCCCUGACUCCUUGAGAGUCCUGAAGGAACGUUGAAGACGACGACGUUGAUAGGCCGGGUGUGUAAGCGCAGCGAUGCGUUGAGCUAACCGGUACUAAUGAACCGUGAGGCUUAACCUUA
rnacentral:rRNA from 1 species